GCGCGGGCCACACCCCCCCACCGGGGUGCUACUAGUCUGGAAGGAUUAGACUAU
rfam:Oceanibacterium hippocampi strain CECT 7691 genome assembly, contig: 0003